rnacentral:rRNA from 1 species
UACGUAGGGUGCGAGCGUUGCCCGGAUUUAUUGGGCGUAAAGGGCGCGUAGGCGGUGAGAUGCGUCCGUUGUGAAAUCGCCCGGCUCAACUGGGCGGGGUCAGCGGAUACGGUCUCACUUGAGCAAGCUAGGGGGCAAUGGAAUUCCCGGUGUAGUGGUGGAAUGCGUAGAUAUCGGGAGGAACACCAGUGGCGAAGGCGACUUCCUGGCCUGUUCUUGACGCUGAGGCGCGAAAGCUAGGGGAGCAAACGGG